rnacentral:rRNA from 1 species
GGGGAAUCUUGCACAAUGGGGGCAACCCUGAUGCAGCGACGCCGCGUGAGCGAUGAAGCCCUUCGGGGCGUAAAGCUCUUUCGACCGGAACGAUAAUGACGGUACCGGGAGAAGAAGCUGCGGCUAACUACGUGCCAGCAGCCGCGGUAAUACGUAGGCAGCAAGCGUUGUUCGGAGUUACUGGGCGUAAAGAGUGCGUAGGCGGUUUUCUAAGUUCGGUGUGAAAUCUCCCGGCUUAACUGGGAGGGUGCGCCGAAGACUGGGAAGCUGGAGUGUGGGAAAGGCAGGCGGAAUUCCUGUUGUAGCGGUGAAAUGCGUAGAUAUCAGGAGGAACACCGGCGGUGUAGACGGCUUGCUAGACCAUAACUGACGCUGAGGCACGAAAGCGUGGGUAGCAAACA